rnacentral:tRNA from 1 species
GGCAGUGUGGCUUAGUGGAUAGAGCAUAGCCUGGGAGUCGGAAGGACCUGGGUUCUAAUCCCCACUCUGCCA